CACCCUAUCACUUCUUAGAACCUUU
rnacentral:piRNA from 1 species